AAUUCCGUGAUCUCGUUUUGCUUUCAUUUUGUUUUACUAUCUCGUUCGACUUUUUCGUUUUCGUUUGCGACAAGCGACGUUUAAUAAUCCUACUUGUUAGUAGAGCUAUGCGUUAGUACGCCUACUUAGUUUGCGGGCACGAGGGGUUAAUUAUUAUAUACAUACAUACAUACAUACGUAUGUAUGUAUAAAGAGCGACAGGGAAAUAGGUGGGCAAACUGUAAUAGCGUAUUAUAAUUUUUCUAAGGAUGAAAGAAAAUAAAUUGGUGUAAACGAUCGAAUUUCGUGGGAAUGAUUAGAAUUUACUUUUAAGUUUCUUUUCUUACUUAACGAGAAAUUAUUAAUCCUGUUGUAUAUUUUACAAUUUCGGUUUCCCUAUGUUAGAAAAUGACUAAUUUUACCACUGUUUGACCACCUACUUUUCUGUCAUCCUGUAUAUAUAUAUAUUUACGUUACGCGCUUAAAUAGAGUAGCUAAUUAGUUUUACAAUACGUCAACAUCAUUUGUCCUCCUGAUUCCUCUAAGUACCGUUAUCUUUUUUCUUUCACUUUUUUUUUCGGUUAACAACAACAGACUUACUUAACUCUAAUUAUGUUUCUGGUUUGUUACUUUCUAAGGCCUUGUUUCUAGCACGGAUCCUGCUGUCGCUAAGGCAGUGGCUCUUUUAACACACUCGCUUACACAUUCUCUCUCUUCCCUUUCACACGUAUCUCAAUCGUUCCUACCCUACGGUACAUACGGUGCCUGGUCUCUGUCGUGUGUUUUCUUCGUUCCACGACGAAUCGCGACAGACUUCCGGUCGAUUUAUCAUCAACGCGAGUCAACGAAUUAUUUUUCUCAACGAUCGAUCGAAGCGUACGAGAGAAUUAUCGCGCGAUGAAUUGGUGGAAAGUAAAGGGGUCCGGGGAUUACAGCGAUCGAACGGGGGUAGUUUGCUACGGCUGGCUUAACGCUCGCACCGCUCGUUGCUGGGUCACAUUCGACCCAACGAAUUAGUUACGAAGAACAAUGCUCAACGUAUGAACGAUUAAAAAUAACGCACUGUGUUAAUUAUUUUCAGCCCCGUUCAGCGAUUAAGAAAGCGACAUUAUUUAUGGAACGACCCGAUAUAUCUUGGAAGCCUGCAAUGCUUCGAUUAACAGGAAGGGAAACGAAAAGACGGAAGUCGCCAUUGAGCUGAACGAAAGGAUAGUGGGAGGACGAUUACCUCUGCAAAGGAAAGUAGGUUCGCCGGCGUACUGCGUGGGGUAAGCGGGGGCACGGUCACCCGGAAGUAAGUAAGGGCAACGUUGCUCCACGGAUUGGCAAAAGGACCGACAGGGCCUAAGCCUGCUUCCGACCCAGCUGUCCGAGCUAUCCAAGUCCUGCGGUCCCCCAUGAGCAAAACGUUCGACUGUCCAGGAAUGAUGGGAACGUAACACGUUGAACCACCUAUUCGAUCGUUCGUUCGAUCGAAAUACAAGAAACUUCACCUACGUCGAAUCAUUUACGGUAUAACUUUUCGAAGAGACGAGUUUCCCGAAGGAAGCUUGCUCGAUCCUUCGAACGAAAUUAACCAGCGAGCACCAACAGCCAAGCAUCGAGGAGAUACAAUUAGGUAAAUCGUAUCGGAACCGGAAAACACGUGGCGCAGAAAAUGAUCAGAUCGACGAUGGAUCGCUCUUAUGGAAAACAGAGAGAAAAGAACUUAGCCAGUGUUCAACGGGAGACGAAAAGAGCAGCGACAAAGAUAGGGGAGGAAAUAAGAACGCGUGUAAAAAAGAAAAGGAAGGCAAGGACAAAACGAUGGUAACGAACGUUGAAAGCUGACAGCCUUGUAAAAAUUGAAAAAAAAAAGAAAUAGUGGCAAAGUAGGGAAAAAAAGAAUAUGUUGCGCGUCGAUGUGAGUAAAAGAAGAAGAGGAUGAGUAUGAAAGAUUCAGAGGCUGAGGAAAAAAUCGGGGUUGCUGCGAUAGCGAAGGUGGAGAGGAGAUGGGGUUGUUCGGUAGGUUUGAGAGGCUAAAGCAACGUGGAGAGAGGCACGAUCUUUCCUCGGCAUCGCGACCGUCUCUGAGCGAUUUUUGCACAACAAGGAGGCGAAUUCAAACGGCAUUGUACCGUCACGUGCGGCCACUCGCUCUCUUUCAACGGAGCGUCGUUAGAACCUCUUCCCUUCGUGCAACCACAGAACUUCCUUACAUUGCCCUCAUUCUCCUCCUCCCCACCCCUCUGCACCUCCUACUCCUCCUUCACCUUAAUUUUCUACUUACUUCUAUUCUCUUUACAUCGAAUUAAUUGCCACGAAAUCAUCCAUUUUUCUCGAUCACCUUACAGAAGGCACAGAUAAUUCGUGCCAACAGAUCCGGCGCACGUUCCAAUUCGCUGUACUUUAUAUCUGAAAAUUAAUUACAUAAUACGCGUUAGGACUUUAGUUUUUCAUUUUAAAAUCAUUAAAAGAAGGAUUUCAAUUUUCAACUAUUACUUUUAUCGUUGCAGGGAAACGUACUUUAUUUUCAAAACAGAACACUCUUUUCGUUUUACAUUAUGAAACUAUCUUAUCGUUAUUGUUUAUAAAAAUUAUCAUUUACAAAGGAAGGUAUACAUCUUUCCGGUGAAUCAAAUUCCAAUUAAAGGUAAUAAGAGAAAGAUAUCUUCACGUUUAUUAAGAUAGCUAAAUUGUUGUAUUUGGAAUGUUUUGCGAUUGUCAGCGAUCGUGUUCGCAAUAGGUAUUCGUUUUUCAUGGUCACACAAUUAUCCCCAAUGUUUCAUAGUGUUCAUUUGAGUCAUUUUUAUUUAUUAGAAACGAUUAGAUAUCUUUUCAUUUUUAUCUCGUACAAGGUCGAUUCCGAGACCUUUCGAACACAGAUUGUGUUUAAUAACGAUUCACGCGAACAGUUUGCUUUCCCAUCGAGAUUACGAGACAACUCAUUCUUUCGUUUUCUAACUCAAACACUUACCAUUAGUAAUGUGUUUAUUUCUUUGAGAUUCGAUUGGUGCUUUAGCAUCGAUAAAGAGAUCAGUAUCGCUCGCAAUCAGACAGAAAUAUAAAUCUUUUAUUUUUAAUUAAGAUACAGUACAUUCUAUGGUUAAACAAUAAAGAUAGCUACUAAUUUAAUUUUCCGUCGUGGACAUUAGAAUAAUCAAGUAAAAAUCUUUAACAUUGCACAAUAUACAUAUACAUAUAUGUAUAUACACACUCAUAACGCGGUCACCUAUACCGACUAUUUACAUAAUUUUAUACAACGUUUCUUUGGAAAGACUUGAUUCAACACCGAUGGAAUAAUAGUGAAGAUGGAAUCACCAUUUCCUAAUUUACAUUCAUUUAUUUAUCGCUUAUAGAGAUUAAUACAUAUAUAUUUCCAUUUGAUAAUUAGGAAAUGGUUGUAAACGUAACGUUUCACUAUAGAUACAAAUUUACAGAAUGCGCAUAGAAAACGACGAAAGAGAAAUAUUAUUUAUAGUGAACAAGUUUUUUUUAUUAUAACGAUUAACGUCCAGUAUUAAAAAUAUUAACCGUCAGAAUUUGAUAGUGUUCCAUUAUACUCUCUAUAUGUCCUGCAUUAAAACGAAUUCUAUUUUUCAUCUUUUAUUAUCUAUAUAUAUGUAUAUACACCGAUAAUGCUAAUGGAAUUAUUUAAACUAUAUCUAAUCUACGAAAAAAAAAGAAAAAAAGAAAGU